UGUUUGAUGUUCUAACGUGGACCCGUGAUCCGGGUUGCGGACAGUGUCUGGUGGGUAGUUUGACUGGGGCGGUCUCCUCCUAAAGAGUAACGGAGGAGCACGAAGGUUGGCUAAUCCUGGUCGGACAUCAGGAGGUUAGUGCAAUGGCAUAAGCCAGCUUGACUGCGAGCGUGACGGCGCGAGCAGGUGCGAAAGCAGGUCAUAGUGAUCCGGUGGUUCUGAAUGGAAGGGCCAUCGCUCAACGGAUAAAAGGUACUCCGGGGAUAACAGGCUGAUACCGCCCAAGAGUUCAUAUCGACGGCGGUGUUUGGCACCUCGAUGUCGGCUCAUCACAUCCUGGGGCUGAAGUAGGUCCCAAGGGUAUGGCUGUUCGCCAUUUAAAGUGGUACGCGAGCUGGGUUUAGAACGUCGUGAGACAGUUCGGUCCCUAUCUGCCGUGGGCGCUGGAGAACUGAGGGGGGCUGCUCCUAGUACGAGAGGACCGGAGUGGACGCAUCACUGGUGUUCGGGUUGUCAUGCCAAUGGCACUGCCCGGUAGCUAAAUGCGGAAGAGAUAAGUGCUGAAAGCAUCUAAGCACGAAACUUGCCCCGAGAUGAGUUCUCCCUGACCCUUUAAGGG
rnacentral:rRNA from 1 species